GAUGGAUGCAUUGCUAUGGUAUUACAUCACUACCAGAUACUACUCAUUUAGUUUCCACUUUAGGAACCUUCCCCAGGAACAAGAGUAGCUUUCUGGGGCCACAUUGUGGUUUCACUGCAGAAACCAGGACCAGCGCAGAUUAACAGAGGAUUAAAUUCAGCUCAGCAUACAGUCUCGGCGAGUCGGUCGGGAGGAAGAACUUUCACAAGUUCUGUAGCACACACUGUUCUUGGAAGAGGAUUUCUAGAGGUACGUGGGAAAUAAGACUGGUUCCACAGUUAACCUUACAGGAGAGAAAGCUUUUAAAGAGAAUGGACCAAAUGUUUCAGUGGGACAUUAACACUGAUUGGGUUUGGUGGAGCAUAAACUUUUUAAAAUGCAAUUAAGGGGGAACAAUUUUCUCCACAGUGAUGUACUUUUCUUUACUGUGUUCCAGCUCCCAAAAUAACGUAGCCUCUUCAAACAGUUCAUGUGUUAGUAUUAGAGCUGAAACAACUAAUCGAUUUAAUCGAUUAUAAUCGAUUAUUAAAAUAGUUAACAACUCAUCGAUUAGUUGUUUAAUAAUCAUAUUUUACCGCAUAAAGUCUAUUUUUAACCACAAUCUGACAUCGGUUACAAUCUGUUAAAUUUGCCGCCAGUGUGUGGCAGUAAUGAGCCACUGAUCUACCAGUGGAGCCGUAGAAGAAGAAAUGAGCCAAUAAGUGCCCUCGGUUUUCAUGACGUAUCACGUUACUGACGCUCAUCUUGCUGUGAGAGAUGGCGGAUCAACAAGAAAUACGGAAGAAAAAUAGAAGCGACAAAACAAGAGAAACCCCGGACAAAAACCUCACGAGUAUGGGAGCACUUCACUAGAUGCCUUGAAAAGACCGGUGACCUGCAAAAUAUGCAAAAACCAUGGCACGACGGAAGCACGACGUCCCUAAGUGAACAUUUGAGACGAAAACGUGGGGGCUGAUGCAGCAGAGGAAUGUCCGAAAAAAAACAAGCAACGAUGGACAACUACAUGGGGAACAAGACACUCACCCCCAGCAAUGCAUACCACUUACAAACUCUAUUCCAGAUUCUACAUUAUUUUUUAUGGAAUUUACCUCUUAUAUUUUGAUGCCAAAAAAUUAUUCUGGACUGAUAUUUUGCACUGUUUAGCUCAUUUUACACCGCUGACUGUGUUCAUGUGCAAUAAAAUAGAUUGCAGUCAACUG